rnacentral:rRNA from 1 species
AUUGAACGCUGGCGGAAUGCUUUACACAUGCAAGUCGAACGGCAGCACGGGGGCAACCCUGGUGGCGAGUGGCGAACGGGUGAGUAAUACAUCGGAACGUGCCCAGUCGUGGGGGAUAACGUAGCGAAAGUUACGCUAAUACCGCAUACGAUCUACGGAUGAAAGCGGGGGACCGUAAGGCACCGCGCGAGUGGAGCGGCCGAUGUCAGAUUAGGUAGUUGGUGAGGUAAAGGCUCACCAAGCCGACGAUCUGUAGCUGGUCUGAGAGGACGACCAGCCACACUGGGACUGAGACACGGCCCAGACUCCUACGGGAGGCAGCAGUGGGGAAUUUUGGACAAUGGGCGCAAGCCUGAUCCAGCCAUUCCGCGUGCAGGACGAAGGCCUUCGGGUUGUAAACUGCUUUUGUACGGAACGAAAAGGCUCUGGUUAAUACCUGGGGCUCAUGACGGUACCGUAAGAAUAAGCACCGGCUAACUACGUGCCAGCCGCCGCCGUAA